rnacentral:rRNA from 1 species
GUAGUUAGCCGUGGCUUUUUCUCCAGGUACCGUCACGUCCUUCGUCCCUGGUAAAAGAAGUUUACAACCCGAAAGCCUUCUUCCUUCACGCGGCGUUGCUGGGUCAGGCUUUCGCCCAUUGCCCAAUAUUCCCCACUGCUGCCUCCCGUAGGAGUCUGGGCCGUGUCUCAGUCCCAAUGUGGCCGAUCACCCUCUCAGGUCGGCUACCCAUCGCAGGCUUGGUGGGCUGUUAUCUCACCAACUACCUAAUGGGACGCGAACCCCUCCUUCAGCGGAUUGCUCCUUUGACCUCAUCCCGAUGCCGGGUCGUGGUCUUAUGCGGUAUUAGCACUUGUUUCCAGGUGUUAUCCCCCUCUGAAGGUCAGGUUGUUCACGCGUUACUCACCCGUUCGCCACUAAAAUUUAUCUUCCAUCCGAAAACUUCUGAUAAAUCUCCGUUCGACUUGCAUGUGUUAGGCACGCCGCCAGCGUUCGUCCUGAGCCAGGAUCAAACUCUGA